rnacentral:lncRNA from 10 species
AGCGCGGCCCGGCUGUGUCCCUGCGUCCCAGGGGCUGGGCGCGCCCGGCCUGCCCAGCGGGGGAUGCGGGGCGCUGUCACUUCCUCCCAGCAGCCGGGCAGGGGCGGGGGGCUGGCCGCGCGUCGCAUGGUAUGUGGAGUUCGGGGGACGGCACGGGGACGACGGGGUUGUCAGGCGCGGAGCCAUUGUCCGACGACGGCUCCUGAUAGGCCGCCUGGAUGGGGCGCGCUUGGCCGCGUUCCCGCGUCACACACCGGCUCCAGCUGCGGGAGAGCCCGUCCCACCCCAACUCCCCAGCCGCCCCUCUGAAGUGUUCCGGUGUCACCGUGGCCACAAGGAGGCAGGGGACGGGGGCUUCCUGAAGGAGGCCCCCUAAGGGGAAGGGGGCUACAAGGCUGGCCAGAGUGCUGGCCGCGCGGCUGUGCACAGGGCCUUGAGCCCCUCCGGUCGUCAAGCCUUGCUUGAAAUGCGUAAAUGCGGAAAGGUGAAGUGGCUGACCCGGCUCACACCACUUUAAGUAGCGGAGUGGGGUUCCUAGCCAGGCCUAUGGGACUCCCACUGGAGCCUUUCCCCCUCUGGGGCUGGGGCUGGACCCACAGGCUGCCGGAGCAGGCAGAAGGGGAGGGGCCCAAGGCCCAGACUCCAGGGCCUCGUCUGGAUCAUCAACCCGGCUUUGCCCAUUCAGCGCAGGCCUCCGUUUCCAGGCCUGUCUCCCCAUCCACACCGUCUCUCAGGGGUCGUGCAACCAACAGCACCCUCCACCUGCAGAAAUCGUCACCUGGCAAAACGGAAACUCUACCCACUAUGCACUAACUCCUCUUUCCCUCUCCUCCGGGCCCUGGCAACCGCCAUUCUACCUUUCGUCUCUGUGGUCUUGACUAUUCUAUGUACUGCAAAUAAAUAGAGUCACACAGCGUUUAUCCUUUUGUGUCUGCAUCUGCCAGGAGGGCGUUGUCAGGUUUAUUUCACUCAGCAUAAUGCCUUCAAGAUUCAUUCAUGUGGUAGCAGGUAUCAGAAUUCCCUUCCUUUUUGAGGCUGAAUCAUAUUCCAUUGUAUGGAUGGGCUACACUGUGCAUUCAUUCAUCUCUCUGUGCACACUGGGAUUGCUGCUACCUCUUGGCUGCUGUGUACAGUGCUGCUAUAAAACAUGGGUGUGUAUACCAGGUGUGGUGGCUCAUGCCUGUAAUCCCAGCACUUUGGGAGGCCCAGGCGGGUGGAUCGCUUGAGCUCUGGAACUCAAGAUCAACCUGGGCAACAUAGUGAGACCCUGUCUCCACCAAAAAUACAAACAAUUAGCCAGGUGUGAUGGGGUGCACCUGUAGCCCCAGCUACUUGGGAGGCUGAGGUGGGAGAACCACCUGAGCCUGGCAGGUUAAGGCUGCAGUGAGCCAUGAUUGCACCACUGCACUCCAGCCUGGGCAACAGAGUAAGACCCUGUCUCACAACAAAAACAAACAAACAAAAGAACACGGGUAUGCAAAUAUCUGUUCACGUUCCUGCUUUCAAUUCUUUUGGGUAGACUGCUGAUGUUUGUUGAUCUCCACCGGUGCCAGGCGUUGUUCUAAGUGUUUUGUAUACAUUAGCCGAUUUCAUCGGACAGCCUAAUGAAGUGGGCACUAACUCUCUUCUUUUCACAGAUGAGGAAACUGAGGCACAGAGCGGUCCAGUCAUGUGCCAGCCAGUGGUGAAGCUAGGAGCCCCUUCACUAAGCACAGUGUUAUCUUGCUUCUCCUCCAACGUUGCUCAGCGUCUGAAAUUCAGCUUGAUGUAUUUAAGUCAGACACAAGAAAGGACUUCUAGACCAAGGAGUUUAGAUGCAGAAAUGGGAGGUACUAUCCUUCACUCCUUUUUCACCUUGAAAAAAAUUUUUCCCAAUCUUUUUCAUUACCUCAUUUAGUCCAUUAAUUAAACCUCCACCUGCGCCCUGUAGGGCAGCAGAAAAGGCCGAUUCAGCACGGACCAGAGAAUAACACAGGGAGGCACAUUACUGGCCCUCUCUCUGCAUUCUUGAAGGCACCUAGAGGAAAGCUCUCUAGAAGAGGGGCAGUUGGGGCUGGGCAUGGUGGCUCACCCCUGUAAUCCCAGCAUUUUGGGAGGCCAAGGCGGGCGGAUCACCUGAGGUCGGGAGUUCGAGGCCAGCCUGACCAACAUGGAGAAAUCCCGUCUCUACUAAAAAUACAAAAUACAAAAUACUAAAAAUACAAAAUUAGCCAGGUGUGGUGGUGCAUGCCUGUAAUCUCAGCUACUCGGGAGCCUGAGGCAGGAGAAUCACUUGAACCUGGGAGGCAGAGGUUGCGGUAAGCUGAGAUCACGCCAUUGCACUCCAGCCUGGGCAACAAGAGUGAAACUCCAUCUCAAAAAAAAAAAAAAAAAAAAAAAAGGAAGAAGAGGGCAGUCGAAGGCAGAAGGGAGAGCAACCUGGAGCAGGGCCCAGGGUGGUGGGUGAUCACGAGGGGCAGAGGGCCUAUAGGUGGCUGGGCCUGGCCAGAGGCGUGGCUGCAGCUGCUAGCCUUGGUCACAAGAGUGGUGCUGACCUCAGGGUGGGUCACCUAGCCCCUCCCCCAGCAGCCCGGGCCCACUUCCCUCUGCAUGAUGACUUGCACUUCCCACUGCCCUAACCCUGGUUCCCAGGACCCCAACACUCACCCUGCUUCUCCCUUUCACUUCUCAGGCUGUCACCAGCCCUGAGACUCUUCCUGGGGAUGCCCUACUGUCUGCAUGGGGUGGGGCCAUUGUGUUCCCUGUUGACAGAUGAGGAAACUGAGUCUCAGAGAAGCAGGCACAGAGGUUGAGGCCUUAAGCCUGAGGUCCCUGCUGCCACCCAGCCUUCCCCAAGAGGAGCAGUGACUUGCUCAGCAUCACCUACAGCUCCAUGAGACCCUGGCUGAAGUCUGCUGACCUCCUCCGGGACUGUGGGAUGGCCAGGACAGCUGACCAGGAGCCACUUUCACGGCACAUCCCCUCCUGCAAAGGAGGGAGCAUGAGGACCCUCAGCAGCCCAGACAUGUACCAUCAGGCGGUGCCCCACCCCAGCCCCACGGGACACUGUCGAUUUGUUGAUAGCCCCCCUGCCCCUUUCCUCCUAGGAGGAAGCCAGGCCAAGGAUUCCUUUUCGUAUUUGGCAGAUGGAGAAACCGAGGCCUGAUGAGGUAUGGCUUCUGCAGCUAUUCCAUGAGCCUGACCCACUGUCCUUGCUGGAGAAGGGCCAUGGGAGAGAAAGCAGGGCCUAUGGGGCAGCAGGACCCCAACCCCAGUGGCCUUCCAAAUAGUGUGGUGUAGGAGGGCUUCCUGGAGGAGUGGGUCCUGGUGGAACUCAUGGGCAUAGGAAGUUCUCUAUGCCAGCUGCAAGCGGCCACUCUCCUCCCCAAGUUCAGCUCUCCUAAAACUCUAGUCUUUCACCACAGCUCUCUGGUACUGAUGCAAAAUGCCUAAGUGCAGCUCCGGUCCCUUCUGCCUGGGGUUCCUGUAGAACAUGGGCCCUUCUCGGAGCCGGCAUAAUUUCCAGGAAAACAGCUGCAGAGCUACGGCCUAUGCAGGGUUCUGCCAAUGACAGAGGCCAGUCACGUGGCAGGACCUCUCUUGGGAAGCCCAGUGCUGCUUCAUGGGGCUGUUUGGAG